UCCACCGGAGCUUGCUCCACCGGAAAAAGAGGAGUGGCGAACGGGUGAGUAACACGUGGGUAACCUGCCCAUCAGAAGGGGAUAACACUUGGAAACAGGUGCUAAUACCGUAUAACAAUCGAAACCGCAUGGUUUUGAUUUGAAAGGCGCUUUCGGGUGUCGCUGAUGGAUGGACCCGCGGUGCAUUAGCUAGUUGGUGAGGUAACGGCUCACCAAGGCCACGAUGCAUAGCCGACCUGAGAGGGUGAUCGGCCACAUUGGGACUGAGACACGGCCCAAACUCCUACGGGAGGCAGCAGUAGGGAAUCUUCGGCAAUGGACGAAAGUCUGACCGAGCAACGCCGCGUGAGUGAAGAAGGUUUUCGGAUCGUAAAACUCUGUUGUUAGAGAAGAACAAGGAUGAGAGUAACUGUUCAUCCCUUGACGGUAUCUAACCAGAAAGCCACGGCUAACUACGUGCCAGCAGCCGCGGUAAUACGUAGGUGGCAAGCGUUGUCCGGAUUUAUUGGGCGUAAAGCGAGCGCAGGCGGUUUCUUAAGUCUGAUGUGAAAGCCCCCGGCU
rnacentral:rRNA from 1 species